CCAAGUACACAUACACUGCGC
rnacentral:misc_RNA from 1 species